AUUGAACGCUGGCGGCGUGCUUAACACAUGCAAGUCGAGCGGCGCGGCGAACGGGUGAGUAACGCGUGAGUAACUGCCCCCCUCUCUGGGAUACCAGUUGGAAACGGCUGCUAAUACCGGAUAGUGGGGGAUGACUCGCGUCCUAUCAGCUUGUUGGUGGGGUAGUGGCCUACCACGGCGACGACGGGUAGCCGGCCUGAGAGGGCGACCGGCCACAUGGGGCGGAGAUAAGGACCAAACUCCUACGGGGGGCAGCAGGGGGGAAUAUUGCACAAUGGGGGAAACCCUGAUGCAGCGACGCCGCGUGGGGGAUGAAGGUUUUCGGGUUGGAAACCGCUUUCAGCCAUGACGCGGUAGUGGCAGAAGAAGCACCGGCUAACUACGUGCCAGCAGCCGCGGUAAUUC
rnacentral:rRNA from 1 species